rnacentral:pre_miRNA from 1 species
UCGGCGUAACAUGAUGUGUGCGCUGCAUUUGCGAAGUCGGACACACGUGUUAUGCCGCAA